CCUACGGGAGGCAGCAGUGGGGAAUAUUGGGCAAUGGGCGCAAGCCUGACCCAGCAACGCCGCGUGAAGGAAGAAUGCUUUCGGGUUGUAAACUUCUUUUUACAGGGAAGAGCAGAAGACGGUACCUGUCGAAUAAGCCACGGCUAACUACGUGCCAGCAGCCGCGGUAAUACGUAGGUGGCAAGCGUUGUCCGGAUUUACUGGGUGUAAAGGGCGUGUAGCCGGGCUGACAAGUCAGAUGUGAAAUCCGGGGGCUCAACCCCCGAACUGCAUUUGAAACUGUUGGUCUUGAGUAUCGGAGAGGCAGGCGGAAUUCCUAGUGUAGCGGUGAAAUGCGUAGAUAUUAGGAGGAACACCAGUGGCGAAGGCGGCAUACCGGUGCACAACUGACGCUCAGGCACGAAAGCGUGGGUAUCGAACAGGAUUAGAUACCCCAGUAGUC
rnacentral:rRNA from 1 species